rnacentral:rRNA from 1 species
UGCCAGCCGCCGCGGUAAGACGUAAGUGGCAAGCGUUGUUCGGAAUUACUGGGCGUAAAGCGCGCGUAGGCGGUUUUGUAAGUCGGAUGUGAAAGCCCAGGGCUCAACCCUGGAAUUGCAUUCGAUACUGCAUAACUAGAGUAUGGUAGAGGGAAGUGGAAUUUCCGGUGUAGCGGUGAAAUGCGUAGAUAUCGGAAGGAACACCAGUGGCGAAGGCGACUUCCUGGGCCAAUACUGACGCUGAGGUGCGAAAGCGUGGGGAGCAAACAGGAUUAGAUA